rnacentral:rRNA from 1 species
CGCCAGGGGACUACAAGCGCCAGCUUAAAACCCAAAGGACUUGGCGGUACUUCAGACCCACCUAGAGGAGCCUGUUCUAGAACCGAUAACCCCCGUUUAACCUCGCCCCCUCUUGUCCCCCCCCCUCCCGCCUAUAUACCGCCGUCGUCAGCUUACCCUGCAAAGGCCCCAUAGUAAGCUAAAAGGAUAUAACCCAAAACGUCAGGUCGAGGUGUAGCGUACGAGGCGGAAAGAAAUGGGCUACAUUUCCUAAACUAGGACACACAGACGGUGUUAUGAAACUAAUACCCAAAGGUGGAUUUAGCAGUAAGAAGAAACCAAAAUAUGUUUUGAA